rnacentral:rRNA from 1 species
UGAGGAAUAUUGGUCAAUGGGCGAGAGCCUGAACCAGCCAAGUCGCGUGAAGGAAGACAGUCCUAAGGAUUGUAAACUUCUUUUAUACGGGAAUAACGGGCGAUACGAGUAUUGCAUUGAAUGUACCGUAAGAAUAAGCAUCAGCUAACUCCGUGCCAGCAGCCGCGGUAAUACGGAGGAUGCGAGCGUUAUCCGGAUUUAUUGGGUUUAAAGGGUGCGUAGGUUGUUCGGUAAGUCAGCGGUGAAACCUGAGCGCUCAACGUUCAGCCUGCCGUUGAAACUGCCGGGCUUGAGUUCAGUGGCGGCAGGCGGAAUUCGUGGUGUAGCGGUGAAAUGCAUAGAUAUCACGAGGAACUCCGAUUGCGAAGGCAGCUUGCCAUACUGCGACUGACACUGAAGCACGAAGGCGUGGGUAUCAAACAGG